rnacentral:rRNA from 1 species
UGAACGCGAAGAACCUUACCGGGAUUUGACAUCCUACUAACGAAGUAGAGAUACAUUAGGUGCCCUUCGGGGAAAGUAGAGACAGGUGGUGCAUGGUUGUCGUCAGCUCGUGUCGUGAGAUGUUGGGUUAAGUCCCGCAACGAGCGCAACCCCUAUCCUUAGUAGCCAGCAGUAAGAUGGGCACUCUAGGGAGACUGCCAGGGAUAACCUGGAGGAAGGUGGGGAUGACGUCAAAUCAUCAUGCCCCUUAUGACUUGGGCUACACACGUGCUACAAUGGCGUAAACAAAGUGAAGCGAAGUCGUGAGGCCAAGCAAAUCACAAAAAUAACGUCUCAGUUCGGAUUGUAGUCUGCAACUCGACUACAUGAAGCUGGAAUCGCUAGUAAUCGCAGAUCAGAAUGCUGCGGUGAAUACGUUCCCGGGUCUUGUACACACCG